rnacentral:rRNA from 1 species
UGAGCGGCGGACGGGUGAGUAACGCGUGGGUAACCUACCUCAUACGAGGGGAUAACAGUUGAAAACGGCUGCUAAUACCGCAUAAGCGCACAGUACCGCAUGGUACCGUGUGAAAAACUCCGGUGGUAUGAGAUGGACCCGCGUCUGAUUAGCUAGUUGGUGGGGUAACGGCCUACCAAGGCGACGAUCAGUAGCCGACCUGAGAGGGUGACCGGCCACAUUGGGACUGAGACACGGCCCAA